rnacentral:ncRNA from 1 species
UAUGUAGAUUUUGAUUAUGAACUUGUACCCAAAGUUUUAUUUUAGCUUAGGGUUUAGCUAUAUAGCCUAUUUAUAUGUAAUUUAUUUAAAAGUUAAGACUUAAAUAGUCUUAUUGAUGUGGCAGUAUGUAAAAUUAAGUAUUAAGUGGCCUUAGACUUAGGGAUUUAUUUAAGUACAAACACAACUUGUGCCAGCAGUUGCGGUUACACAAGUUGUACAAGUUAAAUUUAUUUAAUUUAAUUAAAUGUGUAAUAUUUUAAGUUAUUAAAAAAUUUAUUAGGUGGAAUUUUAAAUUUUUUAUAAUUUAAUUCAGUGUUUUUGAAGUUAAAAAAUUUCAGUAUAAACUAGGAUUAGAUACCCUAUUAUUAGAAGUGUAGUCUUAAAUUUAAAAUUACUAAUAGUUAUGGUCUUUAAAAUUAAAAAAUUUGGCGGUAUUUUAGUCUUUUCAGAGGAACCUGUUUUUUAAUUGAUAGUCCACGAUAAUCUUUACUUUAAAUUUUAAUUUGUAUAUCGUCGUAGCUUGAACAUUUUAGGAGAAUUAUAAUGUUCAAUUGGUUUAAUUUUAAGAGAAUUCAGAUCAAGGUGCAGUUUAUUUUGAAGUUAAAAUGGGUUACAUUAUAAGUAUAUUUAGUCUUAGGUCUUAAAAGCUUGGGUAAAUUGGAUUUGAAAGUAAUUUUAUAUUUUUAUUUAAAAUGACUAUGCUCUAAAAUAUGCACAUAUCGCCCGUCGCUUUCAUUUAAUAUGAAAUAAGUCGUAACAAAGUAGGCUUAUUGGAAAAUGAGCCUAGAAUG